rnacentral:rRNA from 1 species
GAUGAACGCUGGCGGCGUGCCUAAUACAUGCAAGUCGAGCGAACGGACGAGAAGCUUGCUUCUCUGAUGUUAGCGGCGGACGGGUGAGUAACACGUGGAUAACCUACCUAUAAGACUGGGAUAACUUCGGGAAACCGGAGCUAAUACCGGAUAAUAUUUUGAACCGCAUGGUUCAAAAGUGAAAGACGGUCUUGCUGUCACUUAUAGAUGGAUCCGCGCUGCAUUAGCUAGUUGGUAAGGUAACGGCUUACCAAGGCAACGAUGCAUAGCCGACCUGAGAGGGUGAACGGACCACAUGGAACUGCGGCCCGGUCCCGAACCCUACGGGAGGCAGGCGGUGGGAAUCCUCCGCAAUGGGGGAAAGGCUGAAGGAGCAACGCCGCGGGGGUGAUGAAGGUCUUCGGAUCGUAAAAACCUGUUAUUAGGGAAAAACAUAUGUGUAAGGAACCGUGCCAAUCUUGAAGGUACCUAAUCAGAAAGCCACGGCUAACUAC